rnacentral:rRNA from 1 species
CCUACGGGAGGCAGCAGUGAGGAAUAUUGGUCAAUGGGCGCGAGCCUGAACCAGCCAAGUAGCGUGAAGGAUGACUGCCCUACGGGUUGUAAACUUCUUUUAUAAAGGAAUAAAGUGAGGCUCGUGUGCCUUUUUGUAUGUACUUUAUGAAUAAGGAUCGGCUAACUCCGUGCCAGCAGCCGCGGUAAUACGGAGGAUCCGAGCGUUAUCCGGAUUUAUUGGGUUUAAAGGGAGGUGAGAUGGGUUGGUAAGUCAGUUGUGAAAGUUUGCGGCUAAACCGUAAAAUUGAAAUUGAUACUGGCAGUCUUGAGUACAGUUGAGGUAGGCGGAAUUCGUGGUGUAGCGGUGAAAUGCUUAGAUAUCACGAAGAACUCCGAUUGCGAAGGCAGCUUACUAAACUGCCACUGACAUUGAUGCUCGAAAGUGUGGGUAGCAAACAGGAUUAGAUACCCCAGUAGUC